rnacentral:lncRNA from 1 species
UGCUCAGCUCCAACUACAGCAGCUACAAAGAGCUGAGGUGUAUGAUCUGAGUCUUUUCCUGGAUAAAUGGUUAGUGGGAAAUGAGUGAGAGAUUACAGCUCCAUGGACAUGUCUGCUCCGGACGCUUGGAGGGAAACCAGACCUUCCAGAAAUCAGGAUUUGCAGCGUCCUCUGAGGGUUCUGGCUCGGCCUAGGCAUCCUGUCAGCACCAGCACCUGGCUGCCCAGCGGCCGCGACUCUGCAUGCAGGAGACCCAUUUUUGUGUCAUUUGUCAGUAAGGCCAUCUUAUGGGAUCGAGGAGUCUGCCACUACACUGUCCCUGAACGCCCGGUCCAUCGUCCCUCUCUCUGUCCCCGCUUCCUGUCCCACAUGAAGGCUUGCCCUGAAGACUUCAGGCCUCCAUAUUUCCUGAGCUCCAAGUCCAAACCUCAGCCUCUACCUCAGGAGAGGACGCAUGCACACACUCUGACUGCCCCACAAGUGCUGAGUGAGGGUCGCUCAGCAGCCUCUCACAGCUCGGAACUCAGCUGCACUCAGUCCUGCAUGUUCGAUGAACUGGAGGCCAUCGCUCCUCUCUCCACUUCCUGUUUGUCUCUGGACGAGCCGUCAGACUCAUCAGACAGCCCCUCGCCUGAUACAGCGCUGUCCCCAGGCCUCGCAGCGCUGACGGUGGGCUGUGACUCUGGGAAUCUGGGUUCCCUGUCCCGGGUCCAGCUGCUCCUACUGGACCGAACUGUGCCUGAGAACCUGGUUCUGGAGGAGGAAGAGGAGGAGUUCUCACCAGUGGAGGACUGGUCUGAUUUGAGUAUGGAUCACAUCUAUCCAGGUGUUUCGAGGCCCAGCACAGCUGGCAGCAUCUCUGAAAGGUGUGACUCCACAGGGGAAGUCCAGGAAAACAAAUCGGUGAGUGCUGCUGCCCCCUGUGAGACCACUUUUUAUGCUUUACCCCCCUCCUCUCUUCAUCUAUCUAUCA